GACGAACGCUGGCGGCGUGCUUAACACAUGCAAGUCGAACGCUGAAGGCCUGGCUUUUGUUGGGUUGGAUGAGUGGCGAACGGGUGAGUAACACGUGAGUAACCUGCCCUCUUCUUUGGGAUAACGCCCGGAAACGGGUGCUAAUACUGGAUAUUCACUGAUCUUCGCAUGGGGGUUGGUGGAAAGGUUUGUUCUGGUGGGGGAUGGGCUCGCGGCCUAUCAGCUUGUUGGUGGGGUGAUGGCCUACCAAGGCUUUGACGGGUAGCCGGCCUGAGAGGGUGACCGGUCACAUUGGGACUGAGAUACGGCCCAGACUCCUACGGGAGGCAGCAGUGGGGAAUAUUGCACAAUGGGCGAAAGCCUGAUGCAGCGACGCCGCGUGAGGGAUGGAGGCCUUCGGGUUGUAACCUCUUUCGCUCAUGGUCAAGCCGCAACUGUGGGUUGUGGUGAGGGUAGUGGGUAAAGAAGCGCCGGCUAACUACGUG
rnacentral:rRNA from 1 species